rnacentral:misc_RNA from 1 species
UCCGGUUUGUCACCGGCAGUCUCCUUAGAGUGCCCAACUGAAUGAUGGCAACUAAGGACGAGGGUUGCGCUCGUUACGGGACUUAACCCAACAUCUCACGACACGAGCUGACGACAGCCAUGCAGCACCUGUCUUAGAGCUCCCGAAGGCACCUCUGCAUCUCUGCAAAGUUCCCUAGAUGUCAAGGGUAGGUAAGGUUUUUCGCGUUGCAUCGAAUUAAACCACAUGCUCCACCGCUUGUGCGGGCCCCCGUCAAUUCCUUUGAGUUUCAGCCUUGCGGCCGUACUCCCCAGGCGGGGCACUUAAUGCGUUAGCGCCGGCACCCAGGGGGUCGCUCCCCCAGGCACCUAGUGCCCAUCGUUUACGGCGUGGACUAC